GUGUUCGGAAGGUUGCGAAGGUCUAUAUUAAUUGAAUAACUUGAAAGGAUCGUAAGCUGUGACAGGUGCAGCAGAGGUUUGAGGAAGAGAAGAUCUAACAAAAGUAUAUUUAUUAAGCAAUUCUACAAAUACACUUACUGAGUUCGACCUAUCAAAGUAAAGCCUCUUGGGCCUAAAACUCAUUUCUAUUGAGGUAAGUACCGCGGCGCUUCCUAAAACAACCAUGAAAAGUUCAAAUAUCCCGGAAAACGUUCAUUAAUAAUACCCGUCAAAUUUAAGGCCUUUCCAUCCUGGAAAAUCCAUAAUAAAAAGCUUCCAGGAACCUUUUAAAUAUAUUUUCGCACAAGAAGCAAUUUACGGCCGAAGGUAAACAGAUUAUAACAGCAGGAGAACUAUGACAAGCCGGCAACCUCGAAGCACGCCUUCUUACUGAUAAAGGAAAAUCCGCUUAUGUAUUACGGACGACGACGACGCCGCCGCCUGCUGCAUAUUGCAUGUCCCGAUGUCGAAAUACGGUUUAACUGUACGUUACACACUUCCUGCUGGGGUUUUUAUCGCCAUUUAAAACCAACUGAAUUAUUGAAGACGACCUAUUGGUGCGUCAUAGGGAAUAGGUCGCAGGAAUUCACGACAGUGUCAUCCGCAAAGAAAUUCUCUGGAAGGGUUCAGAGAUGAAACAUUUAGUCGAACCAUCGCAGGAAUUUAUUGCAGCCAUGUGUAGUCUGCAAAGAAAAAUCCUACAAGGUUCCGGCGGCAAUUUUUUCGUCAAUACAUAAAAUGAAUAAUUUUAAUUGAUAUGCAAACGCGUUUAAUUUGAUUCGCAGCAAACAUAUUGAAAUUGCAUAAAUAUGAAUUGAUUGUGCGGUAAACCGCGAUUGUGCACCGAUUCGGAACCGAUCUCAUUAUUAUUCGACCGAUAAAUUCUACACACGUAUCCCGUGCAAUAAUAAUUUUUUUUUAAAAUAGUACGUACACUCCAAGUUUCGUAUAUAAAAGGACCGCUCACCGUGCUGAUAAUAGACGUCACACGCCUUCAUAAACCAACCGGCCCUGCGGCGGGCAAGUAAAAGCCCCGACGUUAUUUUGACGUUAAUAAAUUAAUCCUCGGGGGCUAAUGCAUCCCUUAACGAGCGUAAUCGACUGCUGAGUUUAUUUUUAGUGAGCGCCGUUUAUGGAUAUAUCAGCCUGAGAUUACUUCAAACGAAACCCAAGAUUUUCGUUGAGAAGAGGAAGAACAGCUGAAGAACCCAAACAAAGUGUUUUUAGUUUCAUGCUUGUGAAUCCAACGAGACCAUCCAAAAGGUCGUAGCUUUAAUAUUAACCGAUAUCUUGCAUUUUUAAGGCCCAUUAUUGGGCUCAUAAACGAGGUCAAAAAGUCACUUUUUCCGAAUUUUCAACUGUGCUCUCAUUCUCUUAGUUCUGAUCGAAUCUUAUUAUAACCCAAUGUUUUCGUAAUCUAGGUGAUGGGAAGAAGUCAGUUCGUAUUUGAAGAAAAUCAAUGUUUCGAAUUUUUAAAGUGCUUUAAUAAUACUUAGUUCUGAGUAGAUUGUAGUGCAGGAAACAAACUGGUACAAUCCAGCGGAGAAGUUUUAGUGGGUAAACGAUCAGGGAGUCGCACACUAGGGUUCAAGAACUACAGGUGUUCCUUUUUCGCCGACAAAAAAAAAAAGAAAUAGAAGAGAAUAGAGCGUCCGUUAAUUUUCUUCUUAAUUUCCCUACAAAGCUCUGGUGCAACCAAAGGCCGGAAACCAGGCAAUUCUACUCCGCAAUUAAAUUUUAAAACGUAUUUUCAAUCGAAUCGGAGAAUGUGCGAACUAUAGUAAUUAUUUUCUCAUUAGGCGGGAUCCGCGAGUGACUCCGGGUCCCGAAGGCCGGACCCUGGAAACUGGGGGAGGGCCGACCGGGGGGGGGGUCCGGGAACGAGUCGCUCCGGUGAUGUUGGCGGGUCCGGACAUCCCGGACCAAGCUGCCUGUUCACCUGAAGAGCAGAAAACUAGUAAAUUCAGACAUUACCGGACUCGCGAAACGCAAAUUCGCAAACGCAUCAUGAUCGUCAACGGGGAAAACGGUUGGCAACUGCGCGUGAAGCGCAAAGCAGGAGGCAGCCCGGGCUGAUCUCCUCGAGCGGCAGCAGCAGCAGCACCAGCAGCAGAAACACCAACGGGCAGGAGGCAGUUGUAGUGCUCCGAGUGCGACGCGGAGGAAAUUCGCGAUCGCGGUCGACAGUCGCGCUUUUUUCCAAGUUUUCUUUUUUUUCCUGAUAUAGAGACAGAAACUUCCGGGUGGUUUGCUGACGAUAGAAUGUUGUUGUAAUUAUCAGCAAAGGGGAAGGAUGUGGAGUUAGUGCGUGCUUAUUAGUGCUAUUCUAAUAUCAUUUGGAUUUAUAAUAUCUGGAUCUAUUAAUUUGCUAUUGCCUAGGUUAGUUUUCGGAUUUGGGUUGUAAAUGAAAGUGACGUAGUGCUAAAAUGUCGUUUAUAUAAGUGUAACUAUUUCGGAGUGAUGACGUGCUAAGGUAGAGCAAGCGAGGGAUAAUUUGCAGCGCAUCGCAGCACCGCGGCCACCAUGCGCACAUAAAAAGGUAACGCCAUCCCCCCGUCCCCCGAGUAGCGACAGCGCAGCGGCCGCCCGCCCACCACGCCGGUUGGCGCAGCGGCCGGAUUUCCGUAGAAGAAGCGACGCGGUAGAGGAAGAAGGGGCGACGCGCAGUGGCGUGCUGCGGGGAUGGCGCUGGCGGGCGGCAGGUGACGGGGGGCGCCGCGGCGGGGCGCAGGCGCGUCAGCAGUGGCGCCGCGGCGCCCGCCGCUCGACGCCGUUGCGGUCUCUGUUGGACUUUGGU